rnacentral:rRNA from 1 species
AGACGGAGGGGGCUAGCGUUGUUCGGAAUUACUGGGCGUAAAGCGCGCGUAGGCGGUCCGUUUAGUUAGGCGUGAAAGGCCUGGGCUCAACCCGGGAACUGCGCUUAAAACUGGCGGGCUAGAGUCCGGGAGAGGGUGGCGGAAUUCCCAGUGUAGAGGUGAAAUUCGUAGAUAUUGGGAAGAACACCAGUGGCGAAGGCGGCCACCUGGCCCGGUACUGACGCUGAGGUGCGAAAGCGUGGGGAGCAAACAGGAUUAGAUACCCCGGUAGUCC